CCUACGGGGUGCAGCAGUGGGGAAUAUUGGACAAUGGGCGAAAGCCUGAUCCAGCCAUGUCGCGUGUGUGAAGAAGGCCUUCGGGUUGUAAAGCACUUUCAGUGGGGAAGAAAGCCUUGGGGCUAAUACCCUCGAGGAAGGACAUCACCCACAGAAGAAGCACCGGCUAACUCCGUGCCAGCAGCCGCGGUAAUACGGAGGGUGCGAGCGUUAAUCGGAAUUACUGGGCGUAAAGCGCGCGUAGGCGGUCUGAUAAGCCGGUUGUGAAAGCCCCGGGCUCCACCUGGGAACGGCAUCCGGAACUGUCAGGCUAGAGUGCAGGAGAGGAAGGUAGAAUUCCCGGUGUAGCGGUGAAAUGCGUAGAGAUCGGGAGGAAUACCAGUGGCGAAGGCGGCCUUCUGGACUGACACUGACGCUGAGGUGCGAAAGCGUGGGUAGCAAACAGGAUUAGAUACCCCGGUAGUC
rnacentral:rRNA from 1 species